UGUAUAGUAACGAAGUAGAACUACUUCACUACUGUACUUAAGUACUAAAAGGCGGAAUCUGUACUUUACUAGAGUAUUAUUUUUUUCUCCUACUUCCACUUUUAAUUCGGUACAUAUUUUCGCUGGGUUUAAUACUUUUACUCCGAUAUUUUUUUUAUGUGCUGCAUCGUUACUCGUUACAAUUAUAAAAAUGUUACGAAUCAUUCCAUUACAAACCACUGCCAGAACUGUAGAUGGCAGGUUUGAUGAAGCUGCCACAUCAUUGAGCGAAACAAGCGAUUAAGAAGACUGCGCGUGCUGACUGAACUGUGAAGAGAGAUGAACACCGAGCCGAUCCAGAUAAUGACUCGUUCACGAGUCAAGAACCGGUUGCAUCGGUUCUCGGAUGACCAGUAACGUUAGUUCUUUCUGACAGUUCGAUUCAAUAAACCAGUUGAAGAAAACAGUUCACCGAUUCUUUUGCGCUCGAUGCAAUGGCGUCCUUUUCGUUGACUGCACCUGGGCUCAUAACAUUAACACAGAAUCAGUUCAGAAUCAAUCACCAAAAGAAUCAGUUCGUUUCAGACGCUCUGUGUGUCGGUUUGCUUCACGCUAAAUCACACAUGCACAGUAUCAUCAGCUCCUCGGUUCACGAAUCGGACGCGUCUGACAGAAACGGUUCUUGACUCGUGAACGAGUCAUUAUCUGUCUCGGCUCGGUGUUCAUCUUCAGUUCUCUCUUCACAUCAGUUCAGUCAGUGUACUGUUUGAGUAAAUGAAUUACUCCGGGAUAUUGGUUUGUUUUAACUCAGAGGGAGAGUCAGACACAUUAAACAAGUUAACAGCUUAAUUCAUCUGUGGAUUAAUGCGUAUUGGAGACGCGAACUGUUUAAAACGAUUCAGUUCGAUUUGGUGAACUGUUUCAAAAAGAUCCGGUUACAUCGAAUGAUUCGUUCGCAAACCAGAUAUCACAAACUGCUUUGUUUUUAACUGUCUUACAACAGACACGGAAGAGAAGACAAUGCUGAAUAAAGUCUAGUUUUUGCUAUUUUUGGACCAAAAUGUAUUUUCGAUGCUUCAAAAAAAUCUAAAUGACCCUCUGAUGUCUUAGGGGUUUGAAACAACAUGAGGGUAAGUUAUUAAUGACAUCAUUUUGCAAAUUGUGCUAACUAACCCUAGUAACCGUUUUUGGUUUACAAGAAGUUACAGUCAAAGGAAUUGUUAUUGUCCUUUAGGUUAAUCAUUUGAAAUAGUAAAAACAAUAUGUUCAAACUUUUGACUAUUUUCUUUAAUAGCUACAUAACACAAUACUUGUACUUUUACUUUCAGUACUUGAGUAGUAAAUUUUAAAAUAGACUACUUGCAAUACUUAAGUACAAAAAAUGUUGAAUACUUUAGUACUUCUACUUAAGUGUGGUGCUUAAAGAGCACUUCUACUUCUACUCAAGUCACUUUUUUGAUAGAGCACUUGUACUUUUACUCAAGUAUUGGUCUCUAGUACUUUAUACAUCUCUGCUUGUAUGGCAGUAUCCAUAAUAGUUAAAAAAAAAAAAAAAAUUUCUUUCCUUUUAUUUUUACUGCACCUCAUCCUGGUCCCCAUUUUCAAAACGUUUUGCCUAGGCUAUUUCAUUAUAUUUUAUCCAAUGUAUAAUAUUGAUUAUUGCAUUCGUCUAUUUCAAAGAUGUCAGGGAAGAGGCAAAGGAGCAAUCUUUCAUGCUUUGUUCUAAAAGAUCUGGGCCCGUAUUCAUAAAGAAUCUUAAUGCAAAAAGUAGUUCCUAGUGACAAAAUUCUAAGAAAAUUCUUAGAAAUGUGGGCGUUUACUUUUAAAAUUAAAGAAAAAAAUCCUAGUAAAGAAAAAAGUAAUUCAGAAAGCAUCUUAUCCCUUAAAAGAGGUCUUAAGGUAAAAUUUGUUAUGAGCACAGACGAGGACUUUUAAGAGGCUUAAGAGUUUCUUUAGCAGAGGAGAAAAUGGCAGAAAGAUGAAGAGGCAGAAGAAAUGUGUUGCAGACAAUGGAUGACAAUGAGUUAAUAAGACGGUAUAGAUUAUAUAAUAAUUUAAUAUAAUAUAAUUUAAUAUAUAAAUUAAAGUAAUCACUACAUUACAAUAUUUGGCAACUGGGAACAUGCAACAAUGCAAUAGUGAUGAUUUGGGUCUGUCACAACCUUCUGUAAGCAGAGUGAUCACACAAACAAUUACAGCACUUUCAGAACAUCUUAUUGUGUCGCAGUUCAUUUCGUUUCCACUGGACAUUCCCACCUUGCAAGCUCAAAAAACUGCAUUUAUGAAUAUAGCAGGCUUAGGUGCGCACAAGCAGGGGGAAUGAACCGUUAAUAGUUUGUCCCAUGUCUGCUUCUUGUCCCUUGCUGUGUCUGAAUUUUCCUUUAAGAAUGGCCUUGUGUUCAUCCAUUAACUGGGCUAACAGUAAACACUGUUCCUCUGUCCAGUUUGGCUUUCUCGCUCUUCUUGGCUUUGAUUCCAUGUUUAAUACAUUAAAACCAACACUCAAACCGC